UACGUAGGGUGCGAGCGUUAAUCGGAAUUACUGGGCGUAAAGCGUGCGCAGGCGGUCUGUUAAGGCCGAUGUGAAAUCCCCGGGCUUAACCUGGGAACUGCAUUGGUGACUGGCAGGCUUUGAGUGUGGCAGAGGGAGGUAGAAUUCCACGUGUAGCAGUGAAAUGCGUAGAGAUGUGGAGGAAUACCGAUGGCGAAGGCAGCCUCCUGGGCCAACACUGACGCUCAUGCACGAAAGCGUGGGGAGCAAACAGG
rnacentral:rRNA from 1 species